CCGGUGUUUAUUAUUGGAUUGCAACAACGAUAAAGCUCUGGGGGUUUUUGUCUCCUUUGGUAUGCUAAUUAGCCUGUUUCCUUUUGAUCUUUUUCUUACUGAAAAGAGUGAAAAGCUAUCUCGGCAGGGAAUCUUGGUGCUGUACAUCCAUCUCCUCAUCUCCAUAAUCUGAGGAUCAGAGGAAGACAACAAUUUUGCUGCUGAAUGGAAGCUGCUAGAGGUUUUAGUUAGUUUGUGGCUGCCCUGCUAGGGGUUUUGGAGUUUGUGGCUGCCCUAUAAACCCGCUGCUACCCCAAGUUGGGCAACUCAGAGGAGGAUACAGAAGGGGAAAAAAGGCAAAAUGCUUCAAUGUGGCAGAAAAUCAAUCUUUACCCUUUCAAGAGGAAUUUGAAUCUUGGAAACAAAGCAAUGUCGUCAAAAAUAACUUCUGAGUAGGCUCUAAAGUGCAGUGACCUGCUGCUGGAAGUUAUUCUGCUGCACAGAAGUUGGACCAGGCAGAAGUCCAAGCUUCACACUCCCAGGGGACCUUCAAAAGGAACAACUUGGAUCUGAAUCAAAGCCUGAAACUUACUGGAUGAAUGGUAUUCAACCAUUUUUUGAAACCCAUGUCUUCUCAUCUGUAAAAUGAGGGUUGUAGUGAUACUAGGCUCACAGUGUUGGGUCUUGCCCAAAUGCUUAAUAAACAUGCACUACUA